rnacentral:rRNA from 1 species
UGGGGAAUAUUGGACAAUGGGCGCAAGCCUGAUCCAGCCACGCCGCGUGAGUGAUGAAGGCCUUCGGGUCGUAAAGCUCUGUGGGGAGGGACGAACCGCCACUCGUGCAUAGCGGGUGGCAUGACGGUACCUCCUUAGCAAGCACCGGCUAACUUCGUGCCAGCAGCCGCGGUAAUACGAAGGGUGCAAACGUUGCUCGGAAUCAUUGGGCGUAAAGCGCACGUAGGCGGCCCACCAAGUCGGAUGUGAAAUCCCUCAGCUCAACUGAGGACGUGCAUCCGAAACUGGCGGGCUUGAGUAUGGAAGAGGGUCGCGGAAUUCCCGGUGUAGAGGUGAAAUUCGUAGAUAUCGGGAGGAACACCAGUGGCGAAGGCGGCGACCUGGGCCAAUACUGACGCUGAGGUGCGAAAGCGUGGGGAGCAAACAGG